UACGGGGGGGGUAAGCGUUGUUCGGAAUUACUGGGCGUAAAGGGCUCGUAGGCGGCCAAUUAAGUCAUACGUGAAAUCCCUCAGCUUAACUGGGGAACUGCGUGUGAUACUGGAUGGCUUGGAUUUGGGAGAGGGAUGCGGAAUUCCAGGUGUAGCGGUGAAAUGCGUAGAUAUCUGGAGGAACACCGGUGGCGAAGGCGGCAUCCUGGACCAAUAUUGACGCUGAGGAGCGAAAGCCAGGGGAGCAAACGGG
rnacentral:rRNA from 1 species